CCUAACACAUGCAAGUCGAACGGUAACAGGAAGCAGCUUGCUGCUUCGCUGACGAGUGGCGGACGGGUGAGUAAUGUCUGGGAAGCUGCCUGAUGGAGGGGGAUAACUACUGGAAACGGUAGCUAAUACCGCAUAAUGUCGCAAGACCAAAGAGGGGGACCUUCGGGCCUCUUGCCAUCGGAUGUGCCCAGAUGGGAUUAGCUUGUUGGUGGGGUAACGGCUCACCAAGGCGACGAUCCCUAGCUGGUCUGAGAGGAUGACCAGCCACACUGGAACUGAGACACGGUCCAGACUCCUACGGGAGGCAGCAGUGGGGAAUAUUGCACAAUGGGCGCAAGCCUGAUGCAGCCAUGCCGCGUGUAUGAAGAAGGCCUUCGGGUUGUAAAGUACUUUCAGCGGGGAGGAAGGGAGUAAAGUUAAUACCUUUGCUCAUUGACGUUACCCGCAGAAGAAGCACCGGCUAACUCCGUGCCAGCAGCCGCGGUAAUACGGAGGGUGCAAGCGUUAAUCGGAAUUACUGGGCGUAAAGCGCACGCAGGCGGUUUGUUAAGUCAGAUGUGAAAUCCCCGGGCUCAACCUGGGAACUGCAUCUGAUACUGGCAAGCUUGAGUCUCGUAGAGGGGGGUAGAAUUCCAGGUGUAGCGGUGAAAUGCGUACGAGAUCUGGAGGAAUACCGGUGGCGAAGGCGGGCCCCUGGACGAAGACUGACGCUCAGGUGCGA
rnacentral:rRNA from 1 species